CCUACGGGCGGCUGCAGUGGGGAAUAUUGCACAAUGGGCGCAAGCCUGAUGCAGCCAUGCCGCGUGUGUGAAGAAGGCCUUCGGGUUGUAAAGCACUUUCAGCGGGGAGGAAGGCGGUGAGGUUAAUAACCUCAUCGAUUGACGUUACCCGCAGAAGAAGCACCGGCUAACUCCGUGCCAGCAGCCGCGGUAAUACGGAGGGUGCAAGCGUUAAUCGGAAUUACUGGGCGUAAAGCGCACGCAGGCGGUCUGUCAAGUCGGAUGUGAAAUCCCCGGGCUCAACCUGGGAACUGCAUUCGAAACUGGCAGGCUAGAGUCUUGUAGAGGGGGGUAGAAUUCCAGGUGUAGCGGUGAAAUGCGUGGAGAUCUGGAGGAAUACCGGUGGCGAAGGCGGCCCCCUGGACAAAGACUGACGCUCAGGUGCGAAAGCGUGGGGAGCAAACAGGAUUAGAUACCCCGGUAGUC
rnacentral:rRNA from 1 species